AGCUCCUGGUGUAUCAUCAUAUAUGAACAGCAUCCAUCAAAACAUCCCAGAAGAAAGAAAGUCAAGUUUGGACUGAUAAGGGAAAAUGAUACAAUCUUAACAUUCAUGGAACGUAAUGGGAUUCCGCUGGGUUGUCAUGGCAACCUACAGAAGCAAACACCUGUGAAUUAGAAGCACUCCGCUCGCCCUCCUCCAACAGGAAGUGCUUUAAUUAGAGCAAGAACAGGAGAGCUGAGGGAACAAUGUGCUUCAUUUCUGCAACCCACCAAUUAACACCAGCCAUCUAUCAAAUCACAUAGAAUUAGAUCCCGGCUCAACAAUUCUGACAUGUGCUGGAGAGGGAAAUUAUGUUUAAUAUUCAUAUCAAAACUCGUUUUUUCUAAGGCGAAGUCUCUAUUAAGCGCUCAUCUCUUGAUUAUGGGUUUCUCUACAGAUGUAGAUGUACUUUUCUUGUUGGGAUUGGAGUUCACAGCGUGCGAUGACGUUAUCACGAUCGCUAACUAGGACAGAGAGUAAAUAUUAUAAUGGGUUAUGAUAUGAACAGAUAAUAGACAGGGAAAAAGUAAGAAACUUUAAUGAUGUUAUGACAUGCUUUUCAAAGGGGCAGCAAUUUUUGAAAGCAUUUCCACACAUUUUCCACUCUCUUUCUGAACCCAAAAUAAAAUGAGUAAUUUUAAAGGUUAUUUUAUCUCUACGAAUUCAAUGCCUUCUGUUAUGAAAAAACAUAAUUCACCCAAAAAUUUGCGGAAAUUUGCAAAUAAAUAAAAAAUAAAUAAA